rnacentral:rRNA from 1 species
GCAUAUUACUAAGCGGAGGAAAAGAAACCAACAGGGAUUCUCCUAGUAACGGCGAGUGAAGGGAGAAGAGCCCAGCACCGAAUCCUACUACUUUUAGUUGUUAGGAAUUGUGGUGUUUAGAUCGCUCAACGCGUUUUAGCUUUCCGCUCUAAGUCCACCUGAUAGUGGCUCAAGCCCAGAGAGGGUGUAAGGCCCGUAAGAGUGAGAUUGCUUUUACGUUAAAGAGUUGUUCUUGGAGUCGAGUUGUUUGGGAAUGCAGCUCAAAACUGGUGGUAAACUCCAUCUAAGGCUAAAUACUGGCACGAGUCCGAUAGCGGACAAGUACCGUGAGGGAAAGUUGAAAAGAACUUUGAAGAGAGAGUUCAAUAGUACGUGAAACCGCUUAGAGGCAAACGGAUGAAGCCAAAACUAGUCCGAGGGAUUCAACCAUUACUGCUUCGGCCGCUUCGGCGUACGGAUCAUUUAAACGACCGUUGUUGGAGUUGAGUCGGAGUUUAUUGGCGCACUUUCCUCGUGUCUUUCACCACGACUGACAGCGGCGCUAGUCUGCGGCUGCAAGAAGGUAGCUUGGUUGAGUUCGCGCUCUUCCGAGUGUUAUAGAUUGCGGCGUUUGGGCUAGCGUUGUGUCAGAGAUGGCGGUACCCGCCCCUUGGGCUCGCACGUCCGUUCUCACGGGUUCGCACUUUGCCGUUCUGCUUGCAGUUCGGCGAGGGUUGUCGGAUUCGCGCUUGGAAUUGGCCUCUGCGAGUAGGUACCAAUAGUCCGUGGUGUUUUUGUAGGUCUUUCAUCUGACCCGUCUUGAAACACGGACCAAGGAGUCUAACAUGUGCGCGAGUCAUUGGAUUCUACGAAAUCCAAAGGCAAAGUGAAGGUAAAGGUCGCUUUACAGCGGCUGAGGUGGGAUACGGCUUUAAUGGUCGUCGCAGCACCGGCUCGUUCUAUUUGUUUUCAAAGGGGCGACGCCAGAGCGUACACGCUGGGACCCGAAAGAUGGUGAACUAUGCUUGCGCAGGUCGAAGCCAGAGGAAACUCUGGUGGAGGACCGCAGCGUUUCUGACGUGCAAAUCGAUCGUCAAACGUGAGUAUAGGGGCGAAAGACUAAUCGAACCAUCUAGUAGCUGGUUCCCUCCGAAGUUUCCCUCAGGAUAGC